CCUACGGGGGGCAGCAGUGGGUAUUGGGAGAUAAAUUCGCCCUUGCCGCUGCCAAUCUCGAUGUAGACGGGAUUAUCGUUGCCAAAAACCGCGCUGUAGUCCAGCAAUUGGUCUGCUGUUUCGACGAGAAAAUAGUCGGCAUCACUCAGCAUCAAAGCUCCCGGUUGUCCUCUUCAUCAUCCAACUGUGCACCCAAUGUGGCGGUUUGCUGUUUGUAGCGGAUGCGAUGGAUGAACAUAUGGGCCAAAGAGAGGCCAAAGGUAACGAAAAUCAGGUUGACCAGCGAAUUGACAAACCACACCUUCACAUCCUGGAAACUGGAGGGAUAGCGCGUGAUCUUGGCGAGCAGAAAAUAAUAUAAGGCUGCGCCUGGUGCCCCCCGUAGG
rnacentral:rRNA from 1 species